rfam:Spirochaetes bacterium DG_61 WOR1_52_54_763, whole genome shotgun sequence.
GGGCGAUUAGCUCAGCUGGGAGAGCGCCUGCCUUACAAGCAGGAGGUCAGUGGUUCAAGCCCGCUAUCGCCCA